UAGACUAAUCAAAUUAAAUGGGUACUAUUACUUCCACAUUUUUAUCAUUAAAACGAAUGUUUCCUUCUCAAAUGACAAUCCAAUUGCACUUUCAGAAAAAAAAAAAAAUGACAAUCCAAUUGCUGGCUGGAGCUGGUGAUGAACCUCUGUCGGCUUUAAUCUAAUAUUAGCCCAUCAGGACAAUUUUAACUUUACCAAGCAGCAUGAUUUUAUCCAUUUUGAGAUAAGAAUUUACCGUGAUAGGCUUGAGCUUCAAAUAGCUUUGUUUUUGUUACAGUAGUUAGACCUUGCAAAAUCCCAAGUUAUACACGCUCUAAUGACCUUACUGUUUAUCUUUGAGACACAGAGCGUAUGAUGCUGCGUCUGCUACUGCAUCUACCGUACACAUGGUUCAGUUUGCUUGCUUCCGACCUAUGUUAAGUCUUACCACAACCAUUUGGCUUCGCUGCUCAAAGGAACCGGUUGCUCUGUUUUAUGUCGGGAAAGCCAAACGGGGUAUGUACAGGAUAUUGGUUGUUCGAACCUUCUUCGCUACGAAAUGCAUGGCUUUCAUUAACUGGUGUAAGUAGAAAAUGCUAAGGCAAGUCUUUAGCCAUUAACGAUAGGUGGCAGAAGACUCCACCCAGAAUACAAACCUCACACAUCAGGUAUCAGAAAGCAUUCACUCUACCAGCCACACUCCCUAUACAUGACAAUAAACAAUACACUUCCUAUACAAGCCGUUCCUUGCAUCUACCAUAUUCAGCAUAUUGACCUACGCCUGGAUACUUAUCUGACUUCUCAACAACCAGUUCUUUACAACAGACGCGACGGCCGUAGACAAGACAAUAAACGUACAAGAGCCUGAGAGAUAAAUAACAAGAGGUGGUAGAAACAUAAUUACAAAGGACCUACAGGAUACAUCAUUGUCGGUUACUGCUUUAGCAUGUGCAUGUGCUGGACAGCUAUCGCCAUAGAUGAUAGGAGGAUUUUUAUUGUUCUUCAACUCUAGCCUGCUCAAUAACUGGAUGCUUUGGGCUUUUGCAAAACGGUGAUAGAACCAUAUCACCAAUUCCUUAAUAAAUGAAAUCUGGUUGUUAGGAAUCUCUGCUCAAAAUUUAUUCCAGUGAUUUCAAAACGUGCAAAUGGUGAAAGUUCAUAGAAAGCAACUAGUAAGAAGUAACAUCUAAUCAAGCAGACCAAACAUUUCCGGGGAAACAUUACUCCUAAUUGACAGAACAACUGAGGUGUCUUUGCUGACCAUCAAAU
rnacentral:lncRNA from 1 species